GCUGGGCAUACUGUAAUGUGUGUGGCUGUAAGAGACUAAAUGAGUGAACAUAUGAUCAGAACUUCAGCUUUCUUUAGAUGAUGGCCGCUGAAUUGAAGUACCUCUCUACAAGAAGAGCUGGUUGCCAAGGUGUCAUGUGACUAGCUUGAACACUUUGGCCUCCAGCCCAAUUGCUUCAGAGAAGAAAUGCCAAAUCUGUAAGGAGAAGGAGGAAACAUUUUUAUGGCAAUUUGAUUUAACAACAAGAACAACAACAAAGGAAUCCAUUUGAAGCAAUUUAAGGAUUAGGAAUGCAAAACUUGGGUUUGAUGGGACAUCAGGAGAAGAACAGAUGAGGCAGUAAAGAUACAGAGGAAAUUAAUUUAUACCAUUCAGUUAAAUAUUUAGUUCUGUAGUGCAUAUGUAUUUAUCUGUAUAUGAACAUGAACAUAAUCCUGUAUCCAAAUAUGCGUUGUUUUAAGGCUACACUAUUUUAAU